rnacentral:lncRNA from 1 species
CAAAAAUAUUAUAUAAAAUAUAUACACGCUAGAUUUUCUCUUAAAAAAAUUUUACAUUUUUUUACACUGUUUUUUCUUUCGUUCUUUGUGGUUUGUGUGUGUGUGUGUGUGUGUGUAUGCAGCAAAGCGAAACAGUGAUAUUGGGAUUGCAGCAAAUGAAAGUGAAUCAUUUAUUGCAGGGCACCAAGCAAGGAGAAUCAGGCAGCUCAUGCUUAAGAUCCAAACUUCCUGAUGGCUUGUAAGCAAAGGUUUUUAAAAGCAGGGGAAAAUUUCAGGAAAGGAGAAGUUACAGGCAAAAUUGUAAAUGAAUACAUGGAGAUUAUACAUUGGUUUGGCCUUAGAAGAUGGAAUAUCUCGAAGCAGGGUUAGAGGGUGGUGCUUAGAGGUCCUAGGUAGAUUCAAAGAUUUUCUGAUUUGUAGUUGGUUGAGGAGGAGAAGCUUUCUUUAAAAAGCUGGGGUCAGCAGCAGAAGAUGUGAGCACUGCCUUGUGGGUGUGACUUCCUCCAGGCCUCUCAGGAAGAACUUCAGGACAAAGAAUGGUAGUCAAAGUGCAGUCCUCAGUUUGCCCCUUAGCUGAGGUCUACGUGCCAGCGGAUCCAUUUGGUGGGAGUUCUGAAAAACUCAGGGACAUAUGUUAAGUUGUUACGUAGGGAACCAACACCUUGUGACUCUAACUUCCUUGGCUAUUGUUUGAAGCUACUGUUAACUUUCUUUUUUUUUUUUUUUUUCUUUGAAAGCGGUUUUAAAAUAUUUUUGCUUUUUUACUUUUUUUUCUUUUUCAACUGUUAUUUUGGAAUUGAGGUUACGUGAAGUUCUGUCACAAAGGCGUAUUGCACGAUGCUAGUUGUGGGGUGUGCUUGGGCCUGUCAGCCGGGCAGUGAACAUAGUGUCC